rnacentral:rRNA from 1 species
UAUGAGUGGCGAACGGGUGAGUAACACGUGAGUAACCUGCCUCUUCUUUGGAUAACGCCCGGAAACGGGUGCUAAUACUGGAUAUUCACUGGCCUUCGCAUGGGGGUUGGUGGAAAGGUUUGUUCUGGUGGGGGAUGGGCUCGCGGCCUAUCAGCUUGUUGGUGGGGUGAUGGCCUACCAAGGCUUUGACGGGUAGCCGGCCUGAGAGGGUGACCGGUCACAUUGGGACUGAGAUACGGCCCAG